AUCCGUCGAUUUGAAAAAUCGUGAGGGUUCAAGUCUCCUUU
rnacentral:tRNA from 1 species